UAAAACACCAAAAGAAAUGGCAACAAAAGCCAAAAUUGACAAAAGGUUUCCUUAAUGACAACAAAAAAGGGAGUAAUCCUACCCAC